rnacentral:lncRNA from 13 species
UCAAGUCACAGAUCUGGACAAAAUAUCGUUUAGCACAGAAUCGCUGUGCAGAAUCACCUAUAGAGGAGCUUUAGCUGCCUACUCAGUGUGAAGAUGAUGAGGCUGAAGACCUUUAUGAUGAUCUACUUCCACUUGAUGAAUAUGUUUUCUGGUGGCUAAAAGAGAAGAAAAAGUAAGCAUGAUAAAGGCUAAUUAAAAAGUCAUUCCUCAAAUCUCCUUAAAAUUAGAGGUAAGUUCACUGAAAUAAUUCACAUUUCAUAACUCAAAAUAAGCAAAACUUUGAAUCUUUUUUUUUACUUUUUAGCUGACAUUUACUGGAACUGAAGGUUUCAUUUUUAGGUGCUUGUUUGUGAAUUGUAGCUGAAAACAUAAUAAUAAUGAAAAAAUAUAU